AUUGAAAGAAAAAAAAAAAAGAGUCUUGCAAGCCCUUCAUUCAUUGACAAUCGACACUACACAUUGAAAAAUAUCCGAAACACUGAAUCAUUUAUACUUACAAGUACUCCUUCCCUAACAUCCUCCACCAGCAUCUCAAACUUAGUACCAGAUC